CUCCUUUCUUUCUUUCUUUCUUUCUUUCUUUCUUUCUUUCUUUCUUUCUUUCUUUCUUUCAAGUGAUCCUGUACUUCAGAUCAAAUCCCUUCCCCACCAUCGCUUUGGAAACAGCAGUGAUGAUGUGCUGUUUCUGAUUACAUAAUGGUUUGAGGCAAGGGAUUUUCUUGUUGAGGUACCCACACCAGUACUGAUUGGACACUGUUUUGCUUUGCUCUGUUAAUACAAGAUUUUUCUGAAUGUCAUCAUAGCACAGACAGAACACAUUCACUGAGGCAUUUUCAAGGCAAGGUUCUGCUUUAACUUGAAACAGAAAAAAAUUCCCCUGUGACUUAUAUUCAGUGAGAACCACGGGCACUGUUGGUGGGUUUUUACUAAUUAUGUGGUUUCUAUAUGUAAAUACUUGUCUUUUAUAUGUGUGAAUAUGUAAAGGGCAUAGACUUUCUAGUACUAGUCUAAGGAUGUACAAAAACACACACCACAUACACACACACACACACACACACACACACACACACACACACACACCUUAUGAUCUCUGCUCUCUCCUUAAUAACUAGUUUCCCCUUAAAUAAUGCCUCUAAUGUUCCUUUAACUAUGAACUGAUAACGUCAGCAGCCUGAGAAGAUGUCACAUUGGCAAAGCGCUCUCAGAAAAAGCAAGAGGGCCUGAGUUUUGAUCCCUAACAUCCAUGUCAAAGGCUGAGUGUGGGCCGAGCUGUUGUGGUGCACAUCUUUAAUCCCAGCACCUGGAAGGCAGAGGCAGGAGGGUCUGUGAGUUGGAGGCUAGGCUGGUCUAGAGAGCAAGUUCCAGGACAGCCAGGGCUACUCAGAGAAACCCUGUCUCAAAAAAUAAGACAAACAAAGAUCCAGUCACCCCAGGAACUUCCUAGCCAGUCAGCAUCACUGAAUUGGUGAAUUCAAGGUUCAGUGAGAGACAGAUCUUGAGAAAUAAGGUGGCCAGUGAUUGAGUAAAGUGUCUGGUGUCAGUCUCUGACUUCCACACACAAAUACAUUUAAUAAAAUCUGUACUCCAAACUAACUAGAGUCAUGGUAAAUCUUCACUUUUAAGAACGGCAUUGACUCUAGUCACAGAAAUUUCUUUAGGAAACCAACCAGGUCACUGAAAAACAAAUCAUAUCUCCUUUAUUAGUGAAAAAAAAAUCGAGUCAUUCUGUUGAAAAAAACAUGAAGAAAUGCCAUUCAACAGGAAUUUCCCUUAUAGCAUGGUGCUAUACAGAUCUAUGUGCAAGCCCACACCAAGGCUAUUCUUGCCUUGCUUGGGAACCGCAGAGUUAACUCUGCCAAGAGGCAUUACAGUGAUAUGAAAUGCUGUGGUCAUGACAAACUUCCAGAACCCUCUCCAAACCUGUGUAGGAGAAAACAUUUAUGAUAAAGCAGUCAGUGAUAACAGCAAUUAUAGAUUAAGUUCAAGACUAUUCCUCCAGGAAAGAAAAGUACGACAUACACACACACACACACACACACACACACACACACACACACACACAUGUAUGCAUAUGUCUAUCUAUCUAUCUAUCUAUCUAUCUAUCUAUCUUUCACUCCAUGUACUGUUUUAAGUCUCUGGAUAAAAACAAUAGAUAACAGUUUUGAUUACUUACCUGUCCCUUUUCUGUCCUUAAUCAUAGUGGCUUUGAUCCCACUUGAACCUCAUAAUUACUCCUUGGUUAGAAAUUAUCUUGUAUCUAGUUAUUAUUUAGGCACAUAUGCAUUGAGAAUGUACAGUAAGAGUCGGGGCCUAGAACGAGUGAGUUUUAAAUUCCUUCUGUCCGCCAGUCCCAGCGACAGAGUCAAGGACACACUGAGGCAGAAGUCUGUUUUCCUCUUAGGCCCUCUGUUGAUGCAGCCUAUGCCAUCAGGGUCUUUCUGUGUGUUUGUGUGUAUGCAUCACAUGUCUGAGGGGUUUGUUCAAUAUUUUUUCUGCUUUUCUAUCAGCUUUAUAGUUUGGUGGGCAAAGAGGCCUACUUUGAAGUUCUUUCUGUUGUUAAAUCUCUUUCCCAGUGAAAUUCAAUGUAGGUUCUCAUUUUCCAGGACACCAUCUCCCAAAAGUUUUAGAGCAUGCUAAAUUGUAAAUCCUUGAUGAGGAAAUCUGUGUCUAAGGGCCAUCUCUCCAGGUGAUGUAAAGGUGAAGCCAUGUGAGCGAUCUCGUACCCUGCUCCUUUUCUGGCUUUUUUCUUUUUUCUUUUUCUUUUGUGACUUAGAGCCUUAUAGCUUCUGUAGCUUUGCUCCUGAGUCUGACUUCGGGCUCCCUGACACUGUACCUCUAUGUUGCUGGGAGAGUCAACUUAAAAUAUACAAUCUCCAGACGGGAAUGAUUUAGCAAAAUUAAAAGCAGACAAGGGGCAGGGAAGGCGGGAGGUGUCAAAUGUUUUCUCUACCCACUAUCAGUUUGAUGUGGUAGCCUUGUUCCUACCUAGUCUUCCGUCAUGCCGUCCUCUACCAACACUAAAAUAGCCGACAUGGUAACAGAAUACACACAAGGAGAGAUGUGUAGGCUCUUCGGUCUCCAUUCUAACCCACCACAGAGAGUUUUAAUUGAGCUUGUUUCAACUUAAUUUUGUUUCGCCCUUGGGAUGAAAGACACUAGUUUCAGUGUGACUCAAGAGGUACUUUAUAUGCCCCAGUACAGGGGAAUGCUAAGGCCAAGAAUUAGGAGUGGGUGGGUAGGGGAGCAGGGACGAGGGAGGGUAUAGGGAACUUUCGGGAUAGCAUUUGAAAUGUAAAUAAAGAAAAUAUCUAAUAAAAAAAAAGAGGUACCAUGAAAUAUGUAAGAACUUGCAAGAAUCUUCUUAGCUUCCUCCAAAGAAAGUCAGUAUUUCCAAUCGCUUAAUUGUUUUUGAGUGAACUCUUUCCAAACAAAACCAUGCCAUAUUGGUGAGCUGAUACUAAGGUUUCCAGCCCUGUAGUUCACAGACUGAUUUAUUUUUCAUGAGCACAUGUAAUUAAAAUCUCAUUUCUGGUUAGGAACAAGCCUAGUAAGAGAAUUGCAAAGAAGUUACAGAUAGGGAAGCAAUGUCACACAGCAGACCUCUCUUUGAGUCUGCCUCGGGGGAUAUAUGAAGCAGAGCAAUUCAGUUUAAGUACAAAAAGAGAGUUUCACACUCACCCCAGAUCUUGAGUCAGCAUCAUUCAGUACAGCUCACCCUGUCUUACAGAUCACCUUAUCAUCGUCAGUGCUGAUUCACAGUGGGAUGGGGAGAAUGGAUGCAGAAACAGUUUGUGAGGAGACCAUGAAGACAUCCAUUUUCUUCUCCAUUUCUCUACUACUCUCAGAUCUUAUGUUCAUCUCAAAAGCCAUCAUAGGCAAGAGGUGAUACUAAUUAGGUUAUGGUAAGUGACACACCUCCUGAUUACAGCUAUAGCCUGGACCCAGAACUGUUUUAGACUAUAACUCACUUUUAGUAUCUGUGCAAUUUCUGAGCACUAGUGCAGAUAAAAUCCCUUGUAUUCUUGUUAGCACCUUGGAUGCCUUUCUGAAGGAUACAACCUAUGGGUCUUAGUGGCACAGGAAAGAUAAGAUGUCCUUUGUCGUUCAUUUUCUGCAAAUAGUCUGUAUUUACAGUACCAUGCCAGUCGUUUCUGACUACCACUUAGGGCAAUUUGCUUAGCCUAGCGGAAUGUCUUGGAAACUACUGGCAAUGAUUUAGCCUCCAAAAUUGGAACACAUUUAGUAGAGACAGAAAGCCUAUGAACAAAUAGUGGGCAUGUGCCAGAGUAAAUAAGUGUGGUUCAUGAGCUGCGGUCAGAAAUGUCUCUCAGUAUGCAGGCAAAGCCUUUGCCAAUAUUUGCCAUGAAGCCAUCACACAAAGCAGUUUUUCCUCUCAGUAAGACAGACUCAAUGAAAGAAGGAACCCGGCCUCACAAUCUCCUCGUGGGGCUGUCAUCACAGGUCAUACGAAAGGAGACCUGCACUGAGAGGACUUUUUUCCAAUUAGUAUUUCUUACUCAGCCUGCCAAACUUUCAUGAAAAAAUACAAAGAACGAGACUCCUGAGGGAAUAGUAGGCUGCGAGCGUUGGUGGAGGAGAACUCUACAGCACGACACGCCCCUUCCAAGGUCUCAUAGUAAGCCACAGCAUCGGUUAACUUUGCCUCUUUUCCAAACCCAAGCUCUGGCCUGUACUGUAUAACUCCUUCGAAGCAGUUGGUAAGACUACUAUUCCCGAGAGAGAUCUGGAGUCAAGGAGAAGAUUCCCCAACUGAAGACUAGAAGAGACAGAACUGUACAGUGUCCACUCCGGGCUGUCUGCAUUUCCUUUAAAAGUUAACUCCUUGAUCACACAUAACUGGUAGCACUUGGCCUUGAGGAGCGUGCUUGCUCUCUGAUGCAGUGUGUGUGUUUGCCCACUGCGCACAGAGUUUGGUUGCACGUAAUUUUUCUACUCCUGUGUAGACUAUGUAGUUUCAUGGUGGCCACUGAAAUUCAUGAAGAAAUCUCUCAUUUAAACAAUUGAAGGAACCAUAAAUCAAUACCCAGAAAAAUUCUUUCAUUGUGGGAUUUCUUUUCUACUUGGUUAAAGCUGAGUCGCUUUAGUCUCUGCUGCUUCAUUGUGUACCCUUGACUAGCUGGCCCUUAAAGACCUAUAUGAGUCUCCUGUCUCUUUAUCAACUUUAUUGCUGUAGAAAUAUUGAGAUUCCAGCUGCACACCAAUACAUCUGGUUUUAUAUUUUUAAACAUGGGUUCCUGAGAUUGAACGUGGGUUGCCAAGAUGUGUGCUUAUCCAUGGAACCAUUUCUCUGCCCCCAGAUUGUUCUAUUUAAAGAGGUAAAUAAGGACCUGGACAGGUCACUCAGUCCCUAGGGAUACUAGCUGCUGUUCCAGAGGACCUGGGGUGGAUUCCCAGCACCCACGAUGGCAGCUCACAACAACUCCAGUUCCAAGGAUUCCAAUACCCUCUUCUGGCCUCCUCAGAAUAUACACAGAUAUACAUUCAGGUGAAACACUCAGACACAUAAAAUAAUAAUACAAUGAAAGGCAAGUUGAAUGUCCUUUUAACUUAACUACAAUAGCUUAACUACAGUGCCAUACACAGCGAGAUGCACAGAAUGCUACACAGUGUGAUUGAUAUACACACACAGUAUGAUUGAUACACACACAGUGUGAUUGAUGUACACACAGUGUGAUGCACAACCAGUGUGAUUGAUACACAGUGUGAUACACACAACGUGAUACACACACAGUGUGAUUGAUACACACAGUGUGAGUGAUACACACAGUGUGAUACACACACAGAGUGAUUGAUAUAUACAGUGUGAUACACACACAGUGUGAUUGAUACACUCAGUGUGAUACACACAGUGUGAUACACACACAGUGUUACACACACACAAUGUUAUGCACACACAGUAAAACGCACACACAAUGUGAUUUAUCCACAGUGUGAUGCACACAAAGUGUGAUUAAUACAUAGUGUGAUACACACAGUGUGAUUGAUACACAGUGUGAUACACACACAGUGUAAUUGAUACACAGUGUGAUGCACACACAGUGUGAUUGAUACACAAUGUGAUACACAGCAUAAUACAACAAUACUCCGAGAUAGCUUAGUUUGCUUAGGGUCUAGUGCUAAGCAAGAUAUGUAUCUCAGAUGGAAGUAAAAGUACCAACUAAAGAGAUGGAAAAGGGAGUCAUUUUGGAUUAUGAUGUCAUGCUUUCAGGUGCCAUCCUGGAAAAAGUGCUUACCCAUAUAGCUUCCUGCCUUGUCAAGUGGGGAUACCGCUCUGUUGUGGUCCUAGUCUUAAUAGGAAUAGAUGUGAAAUUUCCUAGGAGAGGAUACAAAGGGCUGUCCAUAUCAAUAUAGAAUGCUAUUCUUGAAAUUUGUUUUCCAGUCAUUUUUAUUGUUGUACAUAUCUAUAAAUCUAUAUAUAUAUUAGCAUAUAUAUAAAAUCUAUCUAUCUAUCAUCUAUAUAUUAUCUGUCUAUGUAUCUACCACCUAUUUUCAUAUAUCAUUGAUUUUUCUAUCAUGUACUUAUCCACUGAUCUAUCAAGCAGCAAUGACACUUAUCCAACAUGAUACCACAUAUUAUUUUUUUAGUACUCAACUCUCCCUCUUCUGUGAACUAAUGCUAAGAAAUAAAUAACCUCAUCAACAUGUAAGUAUAACACCUGAAGUGAUUAGCCAGAUGUGGUGACGCACGCCUUUAAUCCUAGCACUUUGCAGGCAGAGGAAGACUGGUAUCUGCCUUCUUGGCCAGCUUGGUCUACAGAGUGAGUUACAGGAGAGCCAGGGCUACACAGAGAAACCCUAUAUUAAAGAAGAAAACAACCUCCUUCCCAGAAUAGAACUGAGGUGAUAAAAAAGAGAAAAGGAGUGGUCGAAACGGGAAGAUGCAUGAGAGUGAACACCCAUCCACUAUCUGCUAUUGGCCCAUUCUGGGCUUCAAGUUGGGCUGAAUAGUAACUGACCAGUGCAUGUAUGAACACUGGGAGCCAGCUCAUUGCUCACACUGAAAUCUGGAUCCUCUCAUGUCACUUUGCUUAUUUUCCUGACUCCAAGUCACGCCACAAUUCCACCUCACAAAAAGACAAACACAUUUUCCUUUCAGUUUUCUAGUCCCUUUAAUUUUACCCAGACUUUCUUGCUGUGUCCUUUUGUGCUGGGUUUAGCUUAUGUAAUAAUUUUGCCUGGGCAGCUUCUACGAAAAGCUCAGCAAUCACAGAGCUGUUUGUUUGGUUCCCUCUGACAAUCACAGAAGCCAGGAUGAGAUGUAUUAAAAAUGCAGGCAUAAAACAAAGCAAUACCAAAGCAGCAAAUUGCUGCAGGACACAAGGGUGCUCUGGGGUAUGCAUCAUUCCCACCCAAGGUUCCUAGACAUUCUGCUGUGGCAUCAUGCUGUAUCGACUCCCCUCCCCCACUAUCUGCCUCGGCUCAGGAUGAAACAAGUCUUGGUUCAGAAUAGAGAAACGUGUCUUGCAAAAAUACUCAAUUCUCUUCAAAGUGGUUUGAAGUUUUGAUCUUUCUCAGUCAGUAGUUUUCCUUACCCCAGUGACCAGUUUAGAAAAAUUUCCUGUCAGCAAACAUUUAACAAAUGUGAUUAAAUAUGGCAGACUCAAAACCUAGCUACCAUCUCAGCCAUAUUCUGGAUCAUGUUUUAAAAAUUUAUUAACAAUUUUAUUUGCUUCAGAAUUACUUAAAAUAUGUAUAAAGAUAUGUAAGUAUUAGGUUGUUGAUUUGAUUAAGAGUGCAGAAAGUUCAAAUACACACACACACACACACACACACACACAAACAUUGAUCUAAUAGGCCUCCAGAGAAUUAAAUAAAUAGGCCUCAAGAGAAUUAAAAUGUAUGUAUGUAUGUAUGCAUGUAUGUAUUGUCUGUGUCUGUCUGUCUGUCUGUCUGUCUGUGUCAUGGCAUAAAUCUAGAGGUAUUAAAGCAACUUGGGGCAUUGGCUGUCACCUUCUACCUCCUUGAGUCAGGGUCUCUCUUGCUUCUGCCGCCCUGCUGUAGACUGCAGACUAGCUGGCCUGGUGAUCAUCCUGUGUCAACCUCAUGUCACGGAUGCACUCCAACACAGGUGGCUCUUUCUUCUUUUAUGUUAGUUUCAGGGAUUGAGUGUACAGUAUUGGGCUUAUUUCUAUAUGACCCCAGAUGAAUUUUCUUCCCUCAUAUAUUUUUUCACUGCUUGAUUUUGCAACUUUUUUGCUUAGAAUAUUUUACUCUAAAUUGAAAAAGAAAAAGAAAAAAAAAAAAAACACCAAGCUCCAUCAGCUAUUUCAGAGGCCUGAGGAGAAAAAUGAAGGAUGGUGUAAAUCAAGCAGACCCACCUUUCUGACUUGUGAUGUGGUCAGGGAAUCUGGACACUAUCAAGGCAUUGCAGCCCAUACCCCAAAGUGACUUUGUUAUAGGAAAGGAGUUUAAUUUUUUUCCCUUUGUAACCUUGUGAAAUUUCCACAUUAAAAAGCAAUCACAUCUUUCAAGCUAGAAAUGAUUGUGUUUGGCACGGCAGAGCCUCUGGUGUAAUGGCUUGUGCUUGUUUUCACUGAAGCAAAAUCAGCUUUCAAAAUAAAUCAUCUGUAACAACAUUCUACUCCCCAAAUCAUAUAAUCCUAUUAACGGAGUUUCAAUUUUUCCCCAUCGUCACUGGUCUGACAAGAUCGACUGAACUUGAGUGUGGAGAUAGAGGCAGGACAGGAUUUGGCUGUGGUAAGGAGAGCUACUUAGCUGUGGACGUGUGAGAGCUCCCUGCACCUCACAAAUUCACACCUGUGUUUCAUCUUACCUCAUGUGCUUUGUCGGGAACUGUUAUGCAGUCGCUCACCAACUCAAGCUACUCAAGAAAUAGCCCAUGCCGGGACAUAGGCAGUCGGGUAGGUUACUGUGCAUGUCACAGUGAGUAAGGCCUCAGUCAAGACCAAACACACAGUUCCACUGACUGAAAAUGGGUCUCACCUGGCUGCAUGGUAGCUUUUCCCAAAGUAGAAAUUAUAUGGCAAAACCUACAAAAGCAUUUUCUUGUCAAUUUGGAAUUCUUGGGAGAGCAUGCCUAGUGUGUGUGUGUGUGUGUGUGUGUGUGUGUGUGUGUGUGUGUGUGUGUGUGAUGAAAAGAAGAAAAAGAACUAUCUUGCAGCCACAAAUAGUAUGUUUUACUUUUGCCAGCAGAGAGUUUCUAGAAAAUAUUAAGCCAGUUUCCAGCCAAUAUGUCCUGUCCAGCUUCACCUCUGUUCCUUGGAAAUGUUCUGAGACAUGGUUGAACUUGGGUUUAUCAGUCAAGCAACUCGUUAACAGUUCAUGAGUAUAAUGGCCGUAUCAAAGUGGUCAGCCAAAGCAGUUGCGGUACAUUUAUAAUCCUCCAUGUUAAGCGACAAGUGCCAAGUGUUGUGAGGCAGCGCCACGUUCUGUGGUGGACAAGCUGUUCUCUUUGGGAAGAAAUGUCGUCUUCGCAUUGGAGAUAGCCCUGUCCAUGAGCCAGCAUAUUCUGGCAUCCCACUGAUGUCUAGGCUGAAGGGCAAAUCUGUUCAUCAAAGUCAAGGCAAAGUUAGCAUCAGCCUUUUCCUCAGUCUGAGCUUACAGGCCCCCUCACUUUUCAGCUGCUCUUACUCAAUUAGAAAGUAACUCUCACUGUAGAGUUGAACCCGGUAUUUGAAUUCUAUCUCUGCCACGUACUAGACUAAUAUGUUUGAUCAAGGUAUUCAACCUCAUUAAGAUGUAAUUUAUCAAUCUACUGACAAAGUAUGAUAAGCUUACCGAAUUUAGGCCAGCAAGGUCAGCGGGCAGACACUUGCUGUCAAGCCUGUGGAUUUUGAUUCCUGGACCCACUUUGUGGAAAGUGAGAACAAGUUCUAUAAAGUUGUCCUCUAACCUUCUCAAGGCAAAAGAGUGCCCAUCUGCAUCUAAAUAAGCAAAUAAAUGUAGAAAGAUUUCCUGCCUUAAAGGAUUACUGAUAUGAUCAGAUAUUAAUUUUAAAUUAUAAAAUGUUGCUGCUAUUUUUCCCUUGGAAUAACCACGAGACCACUAUGCAUUAAAUGAAUUCUACAUAAAUGAGCUGUAACAAAUGGAAAUAAUUUCAUAAUCUCAAGCUUCUGAAAGCAUUUCUCUUAAAUGCUUAUUGUAACAGCGGGGUAGUUAGAGGGUCCUAUGUGGUUAGCAUUUGCUCCCUUGGAAACCCGAGACAUAAAGUAGUCCUGUGUGCUUCAUGUUCUGUUGCAGAGGAAAGAGCAGUGAUAGCUCCUCGAUUUCCAAGUCCACAGAAAAGCAGCAGCAUCCCCGGGCAGUGAUUUUGGUGUCUGAAGCAAGUUUAGAUAAACUGGCAGCUAUCACAGCUCUUGGAAGAAUUAUAACGAGCAUCUAUAACGUCUUGUUUAAAAUUUUGUGGCCAUUAUUUCAAUCUUGUGGAAAGCCCGACUUUCAUUAGAGAAAGCGCAUUGCUCUUUCUAGAAAAGCUUUGGAAGUUAUGGCGAUUGCUUGAAGACUCCCCUGCGUAUGUCAGACAUCCACUCACCAGGAACAAGUCAUACAAAAUGUGCAGAUUUUAAUUAUUGUUUUAAGAAAAUUAAGUGUUGCUUUUCUAGGACAUCAUAUUUAUGAAUCUAAUUUUAUUGCACUAAUGCACAAUUACAUGUAAAGUGAUGGCUACAACAUGCCUUCUACAACCAUUUAUAAACACAGUCUCACUUCUGCUCUUACCCAAAGAUAGAGAAGUAUUCAUCUGUACUGUCAUGCUGUCUAGGUUCUAAGACAUUCAAAAAUUUUAAAACUGGUUUUGUUUAGUUGAAGAUGUGAGCAACCAAAUGCGUACCUUUCUGUAACAAUGGUUAAAUUUUACAUUAAACUUGUUAAAUUUUGAUAAAUUAUUUCCUAUGACAAAUUAGGUCAUUUUGGGUCCUCAAUAAUUGUAUAUUUUUCAUCUCCAAUAGAGCUAGGCAUGAAAUUAAUUCAUACAAAUCAUCGGUGUAUCAGUUUGGUCACUUAUACUUUCAAACAACAUUGUGUAUUAUUGACAUCAAUAACGUUUAUCAGGAAAUAUGUAUAUGCCACAAAAGCUAUGAUUGUAAAUCUACAACUCGCUAUUUAAAAAGUAAGUUUAUAGAGUUAUACUGCCAACUGCAAUAUGGGCAGGUUGAACAAUUAUUGACCCUAAUAUUUAAAUGAUUUGGAAAGAGACUCAGGGAUGUGCAGCUAAAAUGAGUGUAAGUCAAACAAGUUCACUGUUUACAAGUUGUAAACUAACACAUAUCUCUCUCACACACACACACACACACACACACACACACACACACACACACAGAGUGAUGAAGUCAUUUGUGCACAAGUCUGUCUUCAGGGCAGUACCUGAUCUCUUUGGCUGGGGGCAGAAAGGGGAAUCUGGCAGAAGCAAACGCAUUAGCAGCACUUUUAUUUUUUUUAAUGUAUUCACUUUACGUUGCUGCUCCUUCUCCUGGCCUGCCCCUCACACAGUCCCGCACACAGUCCCUCACACUUCUCCCAUCUUCCUUCCCUUCCCCUUUAAGAGAGUGGAGCCCCCCCCCCCUUAGUCCUCCCACCCUGGCAUGUCAAGUCUCUGCAGGGCCAGGCACAUCCUCUCUUACUGAAGCCAGAGAAAGCAGUCCAAUUAGAAAACUGCACUCCACAGUCAGGCGGGGAGUGGGGGGUGGGCAGCCUUCCAACUAGUUGUUGUGUGUGGGGGUGCCCACAUGAAGACCAAUCUGCACAUUUGCUACAUAUGAGUGGUGGACCUAGGUCCAUCCUGUAUAUACUCUUUGGUUGGUAGUCAGUCUCUGGGUGCCCCAAGGGUCCAGGUUACGUGACUCUGUUGGUGUUCCUGUGGAGAUCCUAUUCCCUUUGGGUCGCUCAAUCCUUCCCCCAGCUGCACAUUUCUUAUAGUAACAACAUUUGAGAAUGUCACCUCAGUGUAUGGUAGAGCCAGUACUGAGUGUCUCCAAACAGUGUUUAAGUAAAUAAAAAAGGGCUGCCAGCAAAAAUCUUGUGUCUCAGGCAUUUUUUUAAAGGGUGUGUCAGGAAGGGGGCUCUGUUUUUAGUCUGGUUAAAAAAAAGAACAAAUAUUCCUCGAGCCACUAAAUCAUUCCGUCCUCUUUAGAAGAUUAUAUCUGGAUACCUUCAGACAAAAGACAGAACCUAAACUCAGAGUUUAUGGAGUUAAUUCAACUUUGAGCUGGAGUGAGCGAGGAUCUUAUUCCAUUAACCUUGGGCAGACAACUGUGCUUGUAUCAUGGUCUGGAAUCUUGCCCCUAAAACCCACAAUUGCUGGAUAUUACAUGAUCACUGCCUGCUAACAAUCACUCCCAUGUGGUGGGAUUACAUUCUUUUCCUACUCAUAAUAGUGUGACAGUUUCCCUAGGGCACAGGUGCCAUCCAAAGAAAGUCAUGUCUUCCAGAGGAAGGCCCUUUUUGGUUCUUUUCAGAGUUUUUCCAAGUGGCCAUGACUUACUUUAUUGUCUUUGUAUACCCACUAAUGUUUUCUGUCCUGAGCAGGGAUAUCUAAAAGAAACCAGAGUGGAGAUAAGACUUUUAAUACAUCCUGGGUAUGGUCAGGCUCAAGGCAAAAAUAAAGAUGAUGUAAUAAACAUUUCAUUCAUGAGAAGGAUGUUUUGAUCAAGAUCUCAUUCUGUCUCUGUCUCAAUGAUGCUGAUGAUAAUGAUGAUGACGGCAAUGACAAUGAGGGUGACAACAGGGAUUAAACUUAACACCUUUCCUAUACAAGCUGCUUCCUAAACUGUUAAUUUGAUCCCCUAGAUGGCAUCCUCUUAAUUUGGCCACCUAAAAUCCUCAAAUCACAAAAACAGGAUGACAGUGAUUUGCUGCUGAUCUGAACACUGGCGAGUUGAGGUGAGCUAACGAGUCUUUGGGUCUCUGACUAUAUUUGUAGCACAUAGACUGUCUUAGUUUGGGUUUUACUGCUGUGAACAGACACCACGACCAAGGCGACUCUUAUAAAAACAUUUAAUUGGGGUUAGCUUAAAGGGUCAGAGGUUCAGUCCAUUAUUAUCAGGGCAGGAGCAUGGCAAUGACCAGGCAGGCAUGGUGCAGGAGAAGCUGAGAGUUCUACAUCUUCAUCCAAAGGCAACAGGAAAAGAUUAGCUUGCAGGAAGCUAGGAAGAGGGUCUUACAGCUCACACCCACAGUGGCACACCUACUCUAAGGCUACACUGCCAAAUAGUGCCACUCUCUGAGACAAAGAUAUUCAAACCACUACAUUUACUAACACAGACCACUUCUGAAUUAUUAUUGUGUAUGUCUCUGUGACACAGUGACUACCAUGAAAUGCACUAUUAUGCAUUUGCAUGUGGCACAGAAGUGCAUUUGAUAUAACAUAUUACUCAGUUAUGGACAUUUGCUUCUGUGGCUCUGUUUUGUUUCCUUAUUAAGCUGAGGCAUCGUGUGAGUAGGACUAAUGCACACUCCAGCCUCUAGCCCAGAGAUUAUGUGAACAGAUAGUAGACAUUAAGGAUUUAUGUGGAAAGCCAUGAUGCUAACUGUAGCCAACAUUCUAGAGUUGUGGAUCCCCUAUGUCAAUACCAUUAGAUGGAAAAGGAUUAAUCUUCCAACUUUGGCUAACUCAAGCCACCAGAUACAAGUUUCGUAGGUUUCUCUUCCUUUGGGGAACCUGUAUCAACAUUAUAGUAAGAUCUAUAAUUACAGAUGUUGAUGUAAGAUCAAACUGACUAAAUUUUGUAAAAACUACAUUGCUUUUAAAAGUCAGUAGAGAGAGCUAGGAACCCCAUUAGGGAAUUUCCUUUUAAAAGAAUCUUGCAGAUAUUUUAGAAGAUUUACUUUUGUGGUCAUUACAGACCAGCACCCCGAGAAGUCCUAUGUCACCAUACCUAAUAUCUGUAAAUGAUAUAAAAACAUGUAUGUCCAGGUAACAUUAAGCUAAAAGAUUUAUACUUCUGUUAAAAGGAACAAUAUUGAGUAUUUACUGACUCUUAGUAUUAAGAUAUCCCUUAAAGAGGUUUUAAAUCUCAUUUUGCACGUAUAGUACACUGAAUGAAGCUAUUUAUUGUUAUGGGUGUUCAUCACUGGAGUGGCUUGGGAUUCUUGGAGUCCAGAUAAUUAUAUACAACACUAACUCUACUGGAUUUGGGUUUAACAUGUCUAUUAAAAACUUCAUUGCAUGUAUCCUACCAUACAGCUAUGAUUUUGAACCCAAACGGCUCAGAGUGUCAUGUCAGGUAGCUUUUUGUUAAUCUUUAUAUUUCAAUAUAGUCAUAACAUUGUGAUAUUAAUUAUAGAUAGUAAGAGAAAAUAGCAAAGAGAAGCUAGAUUGUUCAUUAUAGGUCAACCAUUAUAAUCAUUCCUAGCAUGUACUAAGUCCAUAUCAGGAUGUAAAAGAAAAAAGAAAGGAGUAUUUACGUAUUUAAAGUUCAUGUACUCUUUAGUAUUACGGCUUAUAUUAGGUAGGAUAACAAACACUGGGUGUUUUAGUUGGUGCGAUGCUGGUUAUUGUCACAAAUGGAUAGUGAAACACAGGGGUGAUUACAUGCAACAGAAAUGUUCGUCUUUUCUGUAAAAUAUCCCAAGUUACUUACCGAGUGGAGAUAUGUGAAUGGACCCAGUCACUCAGGGGCAUAGACCUGUGACGUUCUGUACAAUUCAGCAUUCAUCAUUGUCAGUGUGAUUAUCUCUGGAAAUGGGAAGGAAAUCUAGUAGUCUUGAAAGUUUGGGAGAUGGGCUGGUGAGAUGGCUCAGCGGGUAAGAGCACCCGACUGCUCUUCCGAAGGUCCAGAGUUCAAAUCCCAGCAACCACAUGGUGGCUCACAACCACCUUUAACAAGAUCUGACUCCCUCUUCUGGUGUGUCUGAAGACAGCUACAGUGUACUUACAUAUAAUAAUAAAUAAAUUUAAAAAAAAAAAAAAAAAAGAAAGUUUGGGAGAUUUAUGUGCAGGGCCUUGAAUGAGACCCACCACUUAUGUUCUCUACCCAAGUAACUAGACAUUAGGUUCAGUACACUGUGAGCAUACAGAGCAAGGCUCAGAAGUUAUAUUCCCACCGAGCAGUCUGCUUUGCCACAACAGUGAACCGCCUGAAGGAAAGCACACAUUGUUGGAAACAGACAGUUGUCACUGUCAUAUGCUUAGGAAAGUUUUUCUUAUUGCAUGCUUUCACCAGUCUUGUCCUCUGUUACUGGAGUCACCAAGGUGAUGAUUUGAUGUCAGCGUGGCCUUUGCUGUGAUGAAUAGCAGCAGCACACUCCGUGUCAUGUCUUGCAUAUGUUUGCUCCUGAACCAAUUUCAGCUACUUGAGUCUGAGUUUUCUCAGCUUUAGCCUGUGCUAAUUUGGUGACUGCUCUAUGUAACUAUGAUUCAAGCCCAGCCUAGUGACUGGUAUUCCGAAGACUUCAUCUUCUAUUCCCUAGUGCUUUGUUUGCCUAGCUAUCUGAUGCUGUGGAUCCUGUGUUAUUUGUUGAAACUUCUUAACAAACAUCUGCCUCGUAAGAAAAAAGGAAAGUAAAUAAAUACACUACUUUUUUUUUAGAGGUUUUUUUGUUUGUUUGUUUUAAUUGUUUAUUGCUGAAUGGUCUUUUGGGACCUUGGAAAGAAUUCUCUCUCUCUCUUUUUUUAAUGACUAUUUCCUAGAUCUAUUUCAUCCCUUUCUUCUAACAUAUCUUCUGAAGGCAAAGAGAUCUCUUGUAUGUACCUAGAGAUUCUGCUUUGAGUAUAACCAAAAGCCAAAAGGGGGCUUUGACAGAAUGCCGGUCAGUUAGGUAAGUGCAUCGUGAGGAAAGGAUGGACCAGUUUCAGCUGUAAAUGGCCACAACUAACAUAUAAUUAACAUCUAGUACUUGCUAGCUGUGAUGCUUAAUGUUAUCUAUCAAUUUUCCUGAACCCUGCUAAGAUUAAGACAUUAUUGUUGGAUGUUUCUAACGCUCUUCCUAAAUGAGGUUAGCAUGAGGGUCUCAGUAAGAUGGGCUGACCUCCUCAGUGCAGGCAGACACCAUCCCACAUACUGAACAGAACCAAGAGUGAAGUGGAAGGAAUUUACCUCUGUUUUUCUGCCUUGCUUCCUGAGCUGGGACAGCUUGUACCUGGGCUUUCAAUCAAUAACUAGAUACCUGAGGUUUCAAGCAUUCAGGUCUUGACUGAAUUAAUUAUGAGCUCCUGCUUUCCUGGGUGUCCAGCUCCUGCAGACAGCCAAGCCUUCAUAAUCCCAGGAGAUUUUUCACAGUACGCCUGAAAUGAGUAAUGUUUAUACAAAGUUCAAGACUUCCACAAGCAACUCUGCCCUCCUGAGUGUGACAGCUUGCUCCUGGCAUUGAGAAACACAGGCCUGAUGUUCCACAUCGUGUUAGAGGCUCAGCAUCUGGGCAGAAAGAUCCAUCUAUAAGGACUUUUGGAAGAAGAGUCUUGCUAUUUAGAGAUCUGCAUAUGAUGGAUUUCCACACAAGAUCUCCAUGACAAAUCUCAACAAAUAUUGGCCUGUGUUGUUGAUGGAAUUGCACCACCUCCCAAUUCAUGUAUUGCUGUCCUACCCCUCCCGCCUGAUCACGUGAUUGUACCUGGAGCAAGGGCCUUUAAAGAGCUAACAACGUUGAAAAUCAGCUCACCAGGGUGGGUCCUAAGCCAAUAUGAUUAUGAAUGGGAACUUUGAACACAGAAUAUACAGAGGAAAGACUCUGUGAAGACUCAAAGUAAAAACAGCAACCUAUGAGCAAAGGAAUGAAGACUCAGAAAAUCAAUACUUUGAUUGGAGGAAUUAUGCCUAAAAGUUUUGAGAAUUGUGAGAACAUUUCUGUUAUUUCAGCCUCCCAAUUCGUACACUUGCUCAUUGAUGCUGGGCUUAUGAGUUAACACAACUAGGCAUGAAAAGAAUCAUGGACUGGGUUAUAGCUCAGUGGUAGAGUACUUACCUAGCAUGUACAAGGACCUGGGUUCGAUACUCUGUAACAACAGAAUAUUAAGAUUGGCUUAAAACUGUGUCAUGGCCAAUCUUCAUUGUCAUCUUGACAGGAUUUGGAAGCACUCCAAGGACACAACUUCGGUAUGGUAUGUCUGCAAAUGUGUUUCUAGAGAAGCUUAGGGGAGGGAGAGGGCUUACUCACCUUGACUCUGAGUGGACCAUUCCAUGGGCUAUAGUUUUAUAUUGAGUAAAAGGGGGGGAAAAGAAACCAAGAACACCAAUAUUUAUUUCUUACAGAUUCUUCACCUCAGACAAAAUGUGACCCACUUUAUGACUCCCCUGUUGCCUCCCAUGAUCGACUUAAUCCUGAAAGUUUUAGCCAAGACAACCCCUCCUUAUUUUCUUUUUGUCAUUUAUUUAAUCAUACCAAUAGAAAAAUAAUUACAUAAGGGUGAAUUAAAUUUUAGCCCAGGUUCCACAUCAGGCACCUUAAUCUGGCGUUUUCAAUGGUAUAGGUUAACUUUUGUCUUGUUUGUUUGUUUCUAAGGAUUGCUUUUCUAAUUGUCAAAUGAAUUUUGUUUCUUUUGUUGAUAUUCAUUUAGCAGCUGGGGCUCCAAUGCUCCAAACUCAGAUAAAACUUCUUUUCAAAUUCCGUUAGUAACCUGUUAUAUUUGUGCUGCAUAAUGGCUGUGUAGAGAUCCAAAAAUUGCCUCUGCUCCCAACCUCAUGCAUCUCAAAUAGAGAACAAGGGUGUCAAUUUAUCCUGGCUAUUUCAAUCUCUGAUUCCAAUGCAAAUUACUAUCCUACUGGUUCAAGCUCUUGUCUUCUUGCCUUGGCUAUUCUAAAGACUUCUAAUUAAUAUUCCAUAAUCUCUGUCUCUUAAUUCAUACAGAGUGUACCCUGAUUAUUGCCUCAAAAUGUCUAAUUAUAUAACUUUCAUCUUUGGUGAUUUCAUUAUUUAAAUAAUAAAGGUCUAAUUGUUUAACAAGAUGUUCAAGGCCCUUCAUAAUCUAAACUAAUUUACUAGCUCUACAUCUUUACAAACACUUCUGUCUUACCUCCAAUCCUUUCAACCAAUAUAUAUUUCCUAUAACAGAAAACAUAUUUUGAUCCUGUAAUGAUAUAUUAAUUUUCAUCUAUAAUGUUCUUUAUUCUUGUUUUGUUAUUGAAACUAUGUAUAUCUUUUUUUUUUCCAUUUUUUAUUAGGUAUUUAGCUCAUUUACAUUUCCAAUGCUAUACCAAAA